rnacentral:rRNA from 1 species
AUUGAACGCUGGCGGCAUGCCUUACACAUGCAAGUCGAACGGUAACAGGUCUUCGGAUGCUGACGAGUGGCGAACGGGUGAGUAAUACAUCGGCACGUGCCCGAGAGUGGGGGAUAACGAGGCGAAAGCUUUGCUAAUACCGCAUACGAUCUCAGGAUGAAAGCAGGGGACCGCAAGGCCUUGCCCUCACGGAGCGGCCGAUGGCAGAUUAGGUAGUUGGUGGGAUAAAAGCUACCAAGCCGACGAUCUGGAGCUGGUCUGAGAGGACGACUAGCCACACUGGGAAUGAGACACGGCCCAGACUCCUACGGGAGGCAGCAGUGGGGAAUUUUGGACAAUGGGCGCAAGCCUGAUCCAGCCAUGCCGCGUGCAGGAUGAAGGCCUUCGGGUUGUAAACUGCUUUUGUACGGAACGAAAAGACUCUGGUUAAUACCUGGGGUCCAUGACGGUACCGUAAGAAUAAGCACCGGCUAACUACGUGCCAGCCGCCGCGGUAAUAC